AUACCACUCCCUCCGUUCGGAAUUACUCGUCCAAGAAAUGAAUGUAUCUAGAUGUAUUUUAGUUGUAGAUACAUCCAUUUUUGUGACAACUAAUUCCGAACGGAGGGAGUAACAA
rfam:Triticum aestivum genome assembly, contig: Triticum_aestivum_CS42_TGACv1_scaffold_642336_T_1BL-0.084165_3DS-0.054623